AAGGCUACGUGAUCAGGUGGGCCUACUUUGUGCUCGCCGACAGAAUAGUCAAAGAUCGGAAGUCCCGUUGUCGUUCAACCGUUGCUGGGCGCGUCCGCUGCGCUUACUUUUUCUGGCAAGGAAAUGACUGUUCUGUGAAUGAGAAGGGUGCAGCUGCCAUCAUGGCUGUAGAACUUGAUGAAGAAAAAGGACCGCAGGUAAGAGUGGUGCAAGGAAAGGAAACUCCAGUAUUUCUAAAUCUCUUCAAAGGGGGAAUGAUUAUCCAUACUGGCAGG